rnacentral:rRNA from 1 species
UACGUAGGCAGCAAGCGUUGUUCGGAGUUACUGGGCGUAAAGGGUGUGUAGGCGGUCUUCUAAGUUUGGUGUGAAAUCUCCCGGCUCAACUGGGAGGGUGCGCCGAAAACUGGGAGGCUAGAGUGCGGGAUGGGAGAGUGGAAUUCCCGGUGUAGUGGUGGAAUGCGUAGAUAUCGGGAGGAACACCAGUGGCGAAGGCGGCUUCCUGGACCUGUUCUGACGCUGAGGAGCGAAAGCGUGGGGAGCGAUCCGG